rnacentral:rRNA from 1 species
AUUGAACGCUGGCGGCAUGCCUAACACAUGCAAGUCGAACGAGUGGCGGACGGGUGAGUAAUGUCUGGGAAACUGCCUGUUGGAGGGGGAUAACUACUGGAAACGGUAGCUAAUACCGCAUACCAUCAGAUUUGCCCAGCUGGGAUUGGCUUGUUGGUGGGUUAACGGCUCACAAAGGCGACGAUCCCUAGCUGGUCUGAGAGGAUGACCGGCACAACUGGAACUGGGAAACGGUCAGGACUCCAACGGAAGGAAGAAGGGGGGAAUAUUGCACAAUGGGGGCAAGCCUGAGAAGGCAAUGCGGGGUGGAUGAGGAGGGCCUCGGGGUGGUAAAGUACGUUAAGCGGGGAGGCGGUACCGGAAGAGGAAGCACCGGCUAACUACGUGCCAGCAGCCGCGGUAAUAC